UAGUCCACGCCCUAAACGAUGUGUACUAGAUCGUGGAGGUUUUGACGCCAUCACGGUCGAAGCAAAAGUAUUAAGUACACCGCCUGGGGAGUACGGUCGCAAGAUUAAAACUCAAAGGAAUUGACGGGGGCUCACACAAGCGGUGGAGCAUGUGGCUUAAUUCGAAGCAACGCGAAGAACCUUAUCCUGGGUUUGACAUGCACGGAUUAGCAGCUGGAAACAGUUGUAACGCUCUUUGAGUGGAACGUGCACAGGUGCUGCAUGGCUGUCGUCAGCUCGUGCUGUGAAGUGUCGGGUUAAGUCCCUUAACGAGCGAAACCCCUAUCACUAGUUGCCAGCGAGUCAAGUCGGGGACUCUAGUGAGACUGCCGGUGUUAAACCGGAGGAAGGUGGGGAUGACGUCAAGUCCUCAUGGCCUUUAUGCCCAGGGCUGCACACGUGCUACAAUGGUGCGAACAAAGCGAAGCAAUACCGCAAGGUGGAGCAAAUCGCAAAAAUCGCUCCUC
rnacentral:rRNA from 1 species